AACCGCUCCAGGCCACCCUCCUGCCGGCACUGGGC
rnacentral:scRNA from 1 species